AGCUGGGACCGAGGCGCGUGCGUCGCGACACGGACCCCAGAGGCCCCCACCCCGAAAUGGUCCCGAGGAGAGGGAUUGCCCAGACUGCACUCUACACACGAUCCCUCUUUUCUAUAUCAAAAGAGGAAACAUUUCAGUCUGGAGUGUUCCAGAGGUAGUUCGGAGGCAGGGAACCUUUUCUCUACAGAGCAUGACUUUCCCCCUUUGUCUGGGACCCCUCCCUAAUGUUGGUGGUUAAAGGUUCUCAUCUACUCUGCACUUUCACUGACACAGGAAAGAUGAUAUCCGGGCCGGGAGAUGGGACUCUCAGAAACGAACGAGUUAGGACACACACUAAUGGCCAGAUAAAAUCAAUUCUAAUAUUACAUUUGUAGAAUUAAAAAAAAAAAAAGAAACUCCAGGUUCUUGGAGGGUGGUGGCUGGAAGAGGUUUCGGAAGCUCCACGCCCCUUCUCACAGGCCUUGCAUUACGUAUCUCUUCAUCUGUAUCCUUUAUAAUAUCCUUUAUAAUAAACGAUAACGGUAAGAAAUAAAAAUGAAAAUAAAAC
rnacentral:lncRNA from 10 species